rnacentral:sRNA from 1 species
UAUUAUAUGGUUUAUGUGUGCAUUCUAUGCUUUAUUAUGGAUUGGAUGUCAAUUACCACAAGAUAUAUUC